GAUGAACGCUGGCGGCGUGCCUAAUACAUGCAAGUCGAGCGAAUGGAUUAAGAGCUUGCUCUUAUGAAGUUAGCGGCGGACGGGUGAGUAACACGUGGGUAACCUGCCCAUAAGACUGGGAUAACUCCGGGAAACCGGGGCUAAUACCGGAUAACAUUUUGAACCGCAUGGCUCGAAAUUGAAAGGCGGCUUCGGCUGUCACUUAUGGAUGGACCCGCGUCGCAUUAGCUAGUUGGUGAGGUAACGGCUCACCAAGGCAACGAUGCGUAGCCGACCUGAGAGGGUGAUCGGCCACACUGGGACUGAGACACGGCCCAGACACCUACGGGAGGCAGCAGUAGGGAAUCUUCCGCAAUGGGCGAAAGUCUGACAGAGCAACGCCGCGUGAGUGAUGAAGGCUUUCGGGUCGUAAAACUCUGUUGUUAGGGAAGAACAAGUGCUAGUUGAAUAAGCUGACACCUUGACGGUACCUAACCAGAAAGCCACGGCUAACUACGUGCCAGCCGCCGCGGUAA
rnacentral:rRNA from 1 species